rnacentral:rRNA from 1 species
AACACAGGUGCUGCAUGGCUGUCGUCAGCUCGUGUCGUGAGAUGUUGGGUUAAGUCCCGCAACCGAGCGCAACCCUUAUUCAUUAGUUGCUACGCAAGGGCACUCUAAUGAGACUGCCGGUGACAAACCGGAGGAAGUGGGGAUGACGUCAAGUCCUCAUGGCCCUUAUGGGUAGGGCUUCACACGUCAUACAAUGGUCGGUACAGAGGGUUGCCAAGCCGCGAGGCGGAGCCAAUCCCACAAAGCCGAUCGUAGUCCGGAUUGUUCUCUGCAACUCGAGAGCAUGAAGUCGGAAUCGCUAGUAAUCGCAGGUCAGCAUACUGCGGUGAAUACGUUCCCGGGUCUU